rnacentral:rRNA from 1 species
UUCGGGAGGGUUUCCUAGCGGCGAACGGGUGAGUAACACGUGGGCAACCUGCCUUCAGCAUUGGGAUAACCCCGGGAAACCGGGGCUAAUACCGGAUAUGACCCCCGCGGGCAUUUGCGGAGGUGGAAAGGUUUUCCGGCUGAGGAUGGGCCCGCGGCCUAUCAGCUAGUUGGUGGGGUGAUGGCCCACCAAGGCGACGACGGGUAGCCGGCCUGAGAGGGCGACCGGCCACACUGGGACUGAGACACGGCCCAGACUCCUACGGGAGGCAGCAGUGGGGAAUAUUGCGCAAUGGGCGAAAGCCUGACGCAGCGACGCCGCGUGAGGGACGAAGGCCUUCGGGUUGUAAACCUCUUUCAGCAGGGACGAAGCGAAAGUGACGGUACCUGCAGAAGAAGCACCGCCCAAUUACGUGCCAGCAGCCGCGGUAAUACGUAGGGUGCAAGCGUUGUCCGGAAUUAUUGGGCGUAAAGAGUUCGUAGGUGGUCUGUUGCGUCGGCUGUGAAAACCCGGGGUUCAACCCCGGGCCUGCAGCCGAUACGGGCAGACUAGAGUUCGGCAGGGGAGACUGGAAUUCCUGGUGUAGCGGUGAAAUGCGCAGAUAUCAGGAGGAACACCGGUGGCGAAGGCGGGUCUCUGGGCCGAAACUGACACUGAGGAGCGAAAGCGUGGGGAGCGAACAGGAUUAGAUACCCCUGGUAGUCCACGCCGUAAACGUUGGGCGCUAGGUGUGGUUCCNUUCCACGGGAUCCGUGCCGCAGCUAACGCAUUAAGCG